rnacentral:rRNA from 1 species
UUCCGCGGUAAUUUGACCGUGCGAAGGUAGCAUAGUCAGUAGUCUUUUAAUUGAAGGCUUGAAUGAAAGGUUGGACGAGGGAUGAGCUGUCUCCUUUAUGUAAUUUGAAUUUAACUUUUGAGUGAAAAGGCUCAAAUUAUUUAGUGGGACGAUAAGACCCUAUAAAACUUUAUAUAAGUUUAAUUUGGCUUACAAUUUGAGUGAAAAGUAGCUUUAUUAGGUUUAUAUUUCGUUGGGGAGAUGUAGAUAUAAUGUGUAACUGUCUAUUUAAUUUAAUAAUUAUAAUUAGUGUGUGAUCCUUCUUUGUGGAUUAAAAGUAUAAGUUACUUUAGGGAUAACAGCGUGAUUUUCUUUGAGAGUUCUUAUCGACAAGAGUAGUUGCGACCUCGAUGUUGAAUUAAAAUUUCAGUUAGGUGUAGCCGUCUAGCUGGUAGGC